AGAGUUUGAUCCUGGCUCAGAUUGAACGCUGGCGGCAUGCCUUACACAUGCAAGUCGAACGGCAGCACGGGAGCUUGCUCCUGGUGGCGAGUGGCGAACGGGUGAGUAAUAUAUCGGAACGUGCCCUAGAGUGGGGGAUAACUAGUCGAAAGAUUAGCUAAUACCGCAUACGAUCUAAGGAUGAAAGUGGGGGAUCGCAAGACCUCAUGCUCGUGGAGCGGCCGAUAUCUGAUUAGCUAGUUGGUGAGGUAAAGGCUCACCAAGGCGACGAUCAGUAGCUGGUCUGAGAGGACGACCAGCCACACUGGAACUGAGACACGGUCCAGACUCCUACGGGAGGCAGCAGUGGGGAAUUUUGGACAAUGGGCGCAAGCCUGAUCCAGCAAUGCCGCGUGAGUGAAGAAGGCCUUCGGGUUGUAAAGCUCUUUUGUCAGGGAAGAAACGGUUCUGGUUAAUACCCGGGGCUAAUGACGGUACCUGAAGAAUAAGCACCGGCUAACUACGUGCCAGCAGCCGCGGUAAUACGUAGGGUGCAAGCGUUAAUCGGAAUUACUGGGCGUAAAGCGUGCGCAGGCGGUUGUACAAGACAGAUGUGAAAUCCCCGGGCUUAACCUGGGAAUUGCAUUUGUGACUGUAC
rnacentral:rRNA from 1 species